AAAUGGACCACAAAGAACGCGCUAAUAGACAGCGCGUCCUUUGUGGUCCAUUUGU
rnacentral:pre_miRNA from 1 species